GGGAAGAAAGAAGACUGACGUAAAACCUCUGCCAGUUGGGUAUACCACCGAGAAGGGGUUACAAACUCAAAAGCUUCCAGAAGCCAGAUACUUGUUAAUAUAUCACCUGGAGCCAGGUUUCCAUGGAAUUCAGGUUGGGAGAUGGUGUUAUGAUGUACUCUCCCAGGGAGAAGCAGUUGUGAAAAUUGUUUGUGUUUUCCAGAGAUGGCCCCACGAAUAUGUCUCGUCUCACACACUCUCCUUAUAAUGUGAUGCUGACACUGGUCCAUCAAGAGGCGGAGUCCAUGUUCCCUUCCCUUGAAUCGGGGUCUGUCUGCAGUGGAAGUGAUGCUAUACGACUUCCGAAGCUUAGUCAUAAAGACAAUACAGUUUCUGCCGGGCUGUCUCUCGGGACGUGUCCAUUUGGAACCCCGAGCUGCCUUGUAAGAAGCCCAGCUUCCCUGAAGCCACCACACUGGAGAGGCCAUCUGGAGAAACCACAUAGAGAUGGAGCUGCCUGAGGAUCCAGCCCCUGCCUUUGAAUUGCUCCAGUGCUGACAGCAAUAGACAUAAGUGGUCCCCACUGAAUUCUGCCUAAAUUGCUUUUGGAGACCAAAUCCUGUGCUCAGUUGAUGGGAAGCCUCCUAAAACUAAAAUACAUACACAGACACACACAUGCACACCCAGACCUACACACAUACAUGUUUUCAAAAUGGAACAAAAAAUCUGAGUGGAAGAAGAGGAAUGAAAUAAUUUCAUGAAGAGGAUUUUUUGAUCAAUCACACACCAUGAAUUUUGAGGCCCUGGGCCAAGAAUUAAGAGAGGAUGUGAACAUUUAACAAGAAAGAAAGCAAGGUUCAAGUACGAAAAGCCUCCUUUAAUUUAUUUUGUUUUGGUAAGAACACUUAACAUGAGGUCUAUCCUCUUAGCAAAUUUUAAGUGAACAAUCAUGGUUGUCGACUGUAGCACAAUGUUGUCCAGCAGAUUCAUCUUACUUACCUGGAACUUCAUGCCUGUCGAGUAAUAACUACCCAUUUCCUCUCCCUCCAGGCCCUGGUAACCACCACUCCACUCUUGGAUUUUAUGAAUUGAACUGUUUCAGAUACCUUACAGAAGUGGUAUCAUGCAGUAAUUAUCUUUCUGUGACUGGCUUAUUUCCCUUAGCAAAAUGUCCUCAAGGUCCAUCCAUGUUGUCACAAAUGGAAGAAUUUCCUUUUUAAAGGCUAAAUGAUAUCCCGUGGUGUGUAUAUACCACAUACCCCCUAGUCAGGGGAGAAGUCAACAGGCCUCCAUGAAUCGUCCAGGGUCUACUUUGUUUUUCGCUCCCAUGAAGGGCUUUUUCUAAGAGUUGUUUGUGUAACUGGAAAAAAAUCAACUCACAUCUCGGGCCAUAUCCCGUUGGAUCCGAGAUGGUAUCAAAACUGUCUGAACAUGAGCAACUCCACCCUGGAGUUGCUCGGGGCAUGAAACUGUUCCGAAGAGACAUUCCACUUUGCGUGGUGAAGAGCUGAGCCAAUCUUAUCCUCUUCUGUGAGGACGAUAUAUUCUAAAUGAACAAACGUAAAGAUGGGUUCAGGCUGUCUCCUGAACAUCCACCAAAGAAGCACCGGGAGGCAGGGAGGCUGGACUGCUGGGGAGAAGUUCCACGCGACCUCCAGUUCCUUGUAUCCGGGCAAUAACCUCCUGUCGACAGCGAUCCCUGGGCAUGUUCGCCGUGGAUGACUUAAAGGAAACAGACUAACAGUGAAAUAGAACAGCCAACGUUAUAGUUUACAAGUUCUCUGUUCAACACUGGAGCAGUGGCGAGGGCAGCACAGCUGUCACUGCUUUGCAAAACAAAGGGAUUUACAAAUGGAGCAGAAGUCCUUGCCAUCUGACACCUGCAUUGGAUUCACCUGCUGAGAAGAUAUCUUGUUUAAAAUGCAAAUAUCUGUUCCCCACUGGAACAGUUUCCUCAGGUGACGCUCUCCUCACGCAUACUGAAAUUUGAGAACCGCUAUAAUGCAGGUAGCUUUCUUCAAAAAGGGUGUGUAUAUGUGUAGAGCAGAUGCACAAUCUGUGUGUCAGAGGUGUUGGGGUAACCAUGUUGAAAGAGGAGGGUCAAUGCCAUUGCCCAGAAAGGAGGGUGAGAUCAGCCUUUUACAUCCCAAAUCUUAAAAGACACUCUGGAAAGGAGAGGGAGGCAAGUGCUGUCAUUGCUUCUAACCCAAGGAUUAUGAAGCAAUUCAUACUGGCUACAUAAGCACAAGGAAUUUUUAGUUUUAUUAAGUUACCAGGAUGCCAUAGAAGGGUUGUUGUGUUACUGAAAACAGAUGAUCAGAAACUGUGGUUUUCCUGGCCCAUUUAGAAUUCUGACCACUAGAAUGGACACUCCAAGAAGGUUUUCUUUUGUUGUUGUUUUGUUCACUGAUAUUGUCUUCAAUGUCUAGGACAGUGCCUGGCACAUAGUAGGUGCUCAGUCAAUGUUGACUAAAACCACAAUUUCAAAGGAUUCCCAGGUUGGUGCUUUGCUUCAGCAGAGGCAAGAAGAAAUUAACAGGGAUAUCAAAUCUGUUUCCUACAUGGAAGCAUCCAGAAUCCCUACCCUUUGCAAUGGUGGGAAACUCCACUGGAAUUUACAAAUCAGUGGUUUCAAUUUGCAACCUCUGCUCCCGAGGCCAACUUCAAAUUACUGUUUUAUGAAGGAGCAAUACCCUGAAGAGUGGACAAAACAUAAGUGUAUCCACCUUAUUCCAGGUUGCUCAUUGAGCUCUGCGACAGAGGCUCUCAUUAAAGGCUCACGAGGUGACAGGCUGGGGAGACCUCACCUGGUCUCAAGGGGCCAGAGGGAUUUGCGGCUGAGGGGAAAGCCUUCAGGUUUGAUCUUCCAUUGUCAGGUUUCUUCCUGGGAUUUCCUUUGUUUUGCAUUUUUCUGUUUGCUUUUCUGAGCCUCAUCUGACAGUUCCUUAAAAAUUCAUUCUCAUCUGUCCAUUUCUUCCUUUUCUUUCUGAGCAACAGCCAAACCCUCAAAGCCCAACACCCAGAGAGAAUGGGCAGGCUGUUUAAACUCAGUAGAUUUUAGUUGCAUUAGGACAAUCACAUUAAAUUAAAACAAACAACAGAAAAACACACCUCCUUCACUGGUGGUUGAACAUUAACUAGUAAUGCUAAUAGUGACAUUAAUGGUGUGAUUUCUUGAGCACCUACUAUGUGCCAGCCAAGUACUUUACAUACAUAGGUUAACUUUCAUGUUGAUAAUAACAGACAUGAGAUUUAGAGAGACUGUGUUGCUCAGGGGAACAAGGCCAAAUCAUAAAUCCUGCCUGAUAUAAAGUCACCUACAAUAUUUUCAGGGCAAUAAGGCAAAUUUCACAGCAGCAUGUUAUAUUUAAUCUCAUUAAUAGCAAAUAUACAUAAACAUAUGCAUGUGCACUCACAUAAUACAUGUUUGUAAACAUAUGAGAAAAUUAUGCAGAAGGCUGUGCAAACUCAGGCAAGUUACCUACCCUUUCUGAGCCUUGGUUUUCACAUCUGUAAAGUAAGAGGAGUAAAGUAUCCAUCACGAGAAAAGAUCUGAGGAUUAAACGAAAUCGUCUACAUAAAGCAUUUAGCACAAUGUCUGAUAGAAAAAUAAGUCCUGAUCCAUUUUUUGCUAUUACCAUUAUUACUAAAGAAAACUCACCAAACUGUCAACAAUGAUUGCCUCUUGGGAGUGAAACUGGGGGGUCAGGAAGGA